AACAGAUUGAUCUGGUGAUAAGAGAUGAUGGGGGUAGGUUAUAUGAUCGAGGAAAGGUGAAUCUGAGCCCACUAUGCAAUAGAACUGCAGCUACCUCCCCUAAUGUGUGUAGUAUUGAAGGCAAUAAAGAACUUUUCAUGUCUUGCUACUUUAAAAUUCAAAAAAGGUUCAUUCUUCCUUUGUUGGUUACUUAACCAUGAUUUUUGUUUUGCUUUGGUUCUGGUUGAGAUACUAAAGGUUGUUUAUUUAUGAAAAGAACAAGCACUUGUAGUUUUGUAUGCCUCAGCUGUUGCUUAGGAUCCAGUGUUGUAGUGCUUUGCCUAAUUACAAAUAACUCUAAUCAAUAAUAGUGGUAUCAAUAAUAGUGGUUAUUUCCUUCUGAUUUGAACUGAGAGAGAGAGAGCCACUGAUUCUUGAUCUUAAGGUGACCCCAUUUUUCUAUGCCUCAUGCUCAUGCUGCUCUAUGUUCCCUUUUAAAAAUUCUUGCUUGCAUUUUGGGUUGGUUUCUGCUCUAUGUUCCCUUUUAGCGUUUCUUUCCAUUGUUGCUGCACUCCCUUUUGGGCGUUCAUUUCAUGCCCGGGAUCUUGCAAAUUGUGCCUGUGCCGAGCUUGCUUUAGAGUACGGGCUGCGGAGACGUCGAGGACCUCAAGGUGAGACACGUUCGAUUAAAGACGCAGGACUCCUCUCUCCGUCAAUCUCGCGCUGCUUCUGCUCACCAUCCCUAUCUCUGACCGCUGCGGGUCACCGAUGUUGUGGAGCUGGACGAGGUUUCCACGCAGUUCAUCGACCGCCUGUUCUUCCUGGAGAAGUUCGGUCCGUGCCGUGGCGGAGGGUUGUCUUGUGGUUUGACCGGAGCGGGGGCACACCAGAGAAGCGAUCUCGUCCCCAUUGUUCAGCACAUCUACCUGCGAAUCUCCAGGCUAUGGUAUCAGCGGGGUUGCUUCGAUGAGGGCCCUAUCAAGAGUAUACAUGUGUGCUCUUCUAUAGGGAAAUCAUGCCAACAAGAUGGUGCCUAAUGAGGUCAUAGACAUGUUUUAGACACUUUGCAUGAGAGAAAUUUAUACAAGUGUGCCAGGAUCCAUGUGAGGUUCCCUGUAACAAUUCUGAGGGUAGUGGAAGGCACAUAUACAUUAUGGUUCACUAGAUCAACAAUUGUCUUCACCUUGAGGGUGUUUCAUUUGGUCAUGUUUGUUAACAUGCUUAGUUGCUUCUUCUUUAUUAUGUUUCUGCUCUGAUAACUUUCUCAUAUUAUAUCACUUUUGUUAUUAACCAUCGUAUCGGAUGGCUGCGCUUUUGAUUU